rnacentral:rRNA from 1 species
GUGUCAGCCGCCGCGGUACGACGAACUGUGCGAACGUUAUUCGGAAUCACUGGGCUUACAGGGUGCGUAGGCGGCCUGUUAAGUAGGGUGUGAAAUCCCCCGGCCCAACCGGGGAAUUGCGCUCUAAACUAGCAGGCUUGAGUAAGCUAGGGGUGCACGGAACUUCCAGUGGAGCGGUGAAAUGUGUUGAUAUUGGAAGGAACACCGGAGGCGAAAGCGGUGCACGGGGGCUUAACUGACGCUGAGGCACGAAAGCCAGGGGAGCGAACGGGAUUAGAUACCCCGGUAGUCCUGGCCGUAAACGAUGAGCACUAGGCGGGAGAGGGUUCGCCCUUUCCGGCCGUAGCGAAAGCGUUAAGUGCUCCGCCUGGGGAGUACGGCCGCAAGGUUAAAACUUAAAUGAAUUGGCGGGG